CGGAACGUGCCCAAUCGUGGGGGAGUAACGCAGCGAAAGCUGUGCUAAUACCGCAUACGAUCUACGGAUGAAAGCAGGGGAUCGCAAGACCUUGCGCGAAUGGAGCGGCCGAUGGCAGAUUAGGUAGUUGGUGAGGUAAAGGCUCACCAAGCCUUCGAUCUGUAGCUGGUCUGAGAGGACGACCAGCCACACUGGGACUGAGACACGGCCCAGACUCCUACGGGAGGCAGCAGCU
rnacentral:rRNA from 1 species